AUCAUUCCAAGUCAGCACACAGCAUGGACAUGAGGACCCCUUCUCAGCUCCUGGGGAUCCUGCUGCUCUGGCUCUCAGGUGCCAGAUGUGACAUCCAGUUGACCCAGCCACCAUCCCUGUCAUCAUCACAGGGAGACAGAGUCACCAUCACUUGCCGAGCCAGUCAGGGCAUUAGCAAGAGUUUACCUUGGUACCAGCAGAUAGCAGGGAAAGCUCCAAAGCUCCUGAUCAGUUAUGCAACUCCUUUGCAAUCUGGGUUCCCACCAAGGUUCAGUGGCAGUGGAUCUGGGACAGAGUUCACUCUUGCCAUCAGCAACCUGCAGCCUGAAGAUGCUGCAACAUAUUUCUGUCAACAGAGGGAUAGUUUACCUCCCACAGUGGGCAGAGAUGUGGCCAUUCCCAGUGCAGGCCAGGUCGGGCUGGAGUUGACCUCGUCAGGACACUGUGCCCCUGUGUUCAUGGCCAAGAAGCUUGUGCAAGAGCCAGGAGGCUUUUCUGGAUGUUGGUGUAGGAGCAUCUUGGCCUGUUGGCCUCGGCUCAUCUUGCUUUGGGCAGCCCAGAACCUGGCUCUGACAGCUUUCAGACGCCAUUCUUGGUGUUGGCAAAGCCGCAGGUACAGCUCUCGCCAGGAUUCGCCCUCUGCUGGUUUUUAG